rnacentral:rRNA from 1 species
UACGUAGGGGGCUAGCGUUGUCCGGAAUCAUUGGGCGUAAAGCGCGUGUAGGCGGUCCGGUAAGUCCGCUGUGAAAGUCGAGGGCUCAACCCUCGAAUGCCGGUGGAUACUGUCGGGCUUGAGUACGGGAGAGGCGAGUGGAAUUCCUGGUGUAGCGGUGAAAUGCGCAGAUAUCAGGAAGAACACCUAUGGCGAAGGCAGCUCUCUGGUACGUGACUGACGCUGAGACGCGAAAGCGUGGGGAGCGAACAGG